GGGAAUCUUGCACAAUGGGCGAAAGCCUGAUGCAGCCAUGCCGCGUGAAUGAUGAAGGCCUUAGGGUUGUAAAAUUCUUUCAGCAGGGAAGAUAAUGACGGUACCUGCAGAAGAAGCCCCGGCUAACUCCGUGCCAGCAGCCGCGGUAAUACGGAGGGUGCAAGCGUUGUCCGGAAUCAUUGGGUGUAAAGGGUGCGUAGGCGGGCGUCUAAGUCUGGGGUGAAAUCUUGCCGCUUAACGGUAAAAUGGCCUUGGAUACUGGGCGUCUUGAGUGUAGAAGAGGUAAGUGGAAUUCGUAGUGUAGCGGUGAAAUGCAUAGAUAUUACGAAGAACAUCAGUGGCGAAGGCGGCUUACUGGUGU
rnacentral:rRNA from 1 species